rnacentral:rRNA from 1 species
CUUUCCAGAGAUGGAUUGGUGCCUUCGGGAACUGUGAGACAGGUGCUGCAUGGCUGUCGUCAGCUCGUGUUGUGAAAUGUUGGGUUAAGUCCCGCAACGAGCGCAACCCUUAUCCUUUGUUGCCAGCGGUUCGGCCGGGAACUCAAAGGAGACUGCCAGUGAUAAACUGGAGGAAGGUGGGGAUGACGUCAAGUCAUCAUGGCCCUUACGACCAGGGCUACACACGUGCUACAAUGGCAUAUACAAAGAGAAGCGACCUCGCGAGAGCAAGCGGACCUCAUAAAGUAUGUCGUAGUCCGGAUUGGAGUCUGCAACUCGACUCCAUGAAGUCGGAAUCGCUAGUAAUCGUAGAUCAGAAUGCUACGGUGAAUACGUUCCCGGGCCUUGUACACACCGCCCGUCACACCAUGGGAGUGGGUUGCAAAAGAAGUAGGUAGCUUAACCUUCGGGAGGGCGCUUACCACUUUGUGAUUCAUGACUGGGGUGAAGUCGUAACAAGGUAACCGUAGGGGAACCUGCGGUUGGAUCACCUCCUU